CGAACAGCCCGAAAGGGCUGCUAAUACCGCAUAUCUCAGCAGGGUCUUUGGGCUUUGUUGGGAAAGGUGGCGCGUUGCAAGACAGCUAUCACCAGAGGAUGAGUCCGCGGCCCAUCAGCUAGUUGGCGGGGUAAUGGCCCACCAAGGCAUAGACGGGUAGCUGGUCUGAGAGGAUGAUCAGCCACACUGGGACUGAGACACGGCCCAG
rnacentral:rRNA from 1 species